rnacentral:lncRNA from 1 species
AUUUUGGGGGAGGGAGUGAGAUCCCAGGUUAUGUAUUCUUUUGGAGGGGGGUGAAGAAGAUGAAUAAAAGUUCAUCAGACCUGAAGAGACAACCUAGACUAGCAGUGAGCCGUGGUGGAAAGACGCCAGAGGUCAGAUGUUGGGAAGGGCCUCAAAGUGCUCAGCAGAGUUUGGGAGAGAAGCUCAGACCUCCCCUUAUUGGACACCAAAUGUAAGGUCAGACCGAGGCACGAUUGAGACCACCGAGCAAGGUCCGUUAUGGUUUCUAUGUGAAGGGCCCCCCGAACAUGCAGGCAUUGAGGGCUCGCUCCCCAGUGCAGCCAUCUUCAGCAGUGGGCCCCAGGGAGGUGACUGGAUCAUGAGGGGCUGACCUCGCCAGUGGACUGAUCCACAGAAGAGGGUAAGCCACGGGGGCAUGACCUUGGGGACAGCAUCUUGACCCUGCCCCUUCCUCUCUAUGCUCUUUCACCAUCUUUGCAUCCAGCUGCUAUGAGGUGAGCAGUUUUGUCCCACCACACCCUUCUGCUAUGAUGCUCUGCCUCACCUCAGACCCGCAGCAAUGGAACAGGCCACCCAUGAACUAAAACCUCUGAAACCAUGAGCCAAAGUAAACUUUUCCUUCUUUAAGUUGUUUUUUUUCAGAUAAGAGGAAGAAAUGAAAUAAGCAAGCCCAGUUGAUUCUUCCCAAAUUUACCCAUCUGAUAAGCAGCCCCAUCAAUAUGCCAGGGGUGAAGUAAAUAGAGAGAUCUGGGGGUGCUACCAGGGGAACCCCCAGCUCCCAGGAGUGAAGAUGCUGCUGCUUGCUUAAAGAGGAUUCACAUGACUCUGAUGAAGUGGGCAGCCCGCAGUGAAGACCAGCAGGCAGGAGGGACCCUGGGACUGGCUGCUUCUCCUGCCUCUUUGCUGUGAAAGGACACUUACUGGGAGGGAUGCAGGUGGCCAGCUAAGCACCUCUGCAGUGCUGAGGCUCCACAUGGGAGAUAGGAAUGCUAAGAAUAUUAGCCUGGGCUGUCGGCAAUUACUGGGCUGGGAACUAACUGCCACUGCAGCUUGGAUAUUAAAGAAAUAAUGUCUCCUUUUGUUCUUCAAGAUGGCAAAAUACGGUUUAGGUUUAUAGAUGUGUACCUUGGAAUCACUUUACUCACUCACUCUUUGGAUUACACACCUUUUUUGUGUUUUUGAUACAAGUGCUAAGUUGCAAAUUGUCCAGGUUGGCAUUGAACAUGGGAUAUUCCUGCCCCAGCCUCCUGAGUAUUCCUGGGAUUCCAGGUCUGCACCACCACAACAGGCUUAGCAUAUGAAGUGUUGUACUCUUUUUUUUAAAGGUUCUUGCCACUUUCUUUUUUUACAAUUAAAUUUAUUGGUACAUUUUAGGUAUAUAUAGUGAUCACAUCCAUCAUAGGGAAUUUGUGCCUGUACUAGUAUAUCUUGAUUCUUCAUUUUCUCCACUCCCUUCCCUGAAGCCACCUUCACUUCCUUAUUUACAAAAGCUUUGUUCCCAUUAUUUCCAUCUAUUUUCUUUUCCCUUCCUUCCUUUCCCCCUCACCCCUCCCUUUUUCCCCUUCCCAUUUGAACAUUUUCUUCCUAUUUCACAAUAUCUAUUUUAUAUUUUGGUCCUUAUUUACACUUUCAGUUUCUCACACCAGAGAAACAAUGUGAUAUUUAAACACAUGGGUCCGAUUUAUUUCACUUAAGAGUAUGGUCUCAAGGUGCAUCCAUUUAGGUAUAAAUGUCUAAAGUUUACCUUUCUUUAUGGCUGAAUAGUACUGCAUUGUAUAAUGGGGAAAAAAUAGGAAUCAAGAUACAUCAUGUACAGGUACAAACACCCAAUGAUAAAUGUAAGUGUAUACCUAAAAUGUACCAAUAAAAGAACUUAAGAAUAAAAAAAACUAUUUUAAUAAUUUU